rnacentral:misc_RNA from 1 species
UUUGCGAACAAAAAAAUAAAUUUUUUUAUUCUAACAAACUAAAUCAAAACUUUCAACAACGGAUCUCUUGGUUCUCGCAUCGAUGAAGAACGCAGCGAAUUGCGAUACGUAGUAUGACUUGCAGACGUGAAUCAUCGAAUCUUUGAACGCACAUUGCGCCUCGAGGCAUUCCUCGAGGCAUGCCUGUUUGAGCGUCGCAUCCCCUCUAACCCCCGGUUAGGCGUUGCUCCGAAAUAUCAACCGCGCUGUCAAACACGUUUACAGCACGACAUUUCGCCCUCAA